GGAAAGAAGAAGAAAAAGAAGAAACCCCGGUUGCCUUUGAAUGCUGCGGAGAUGCAGUGGAAAAUGUCUCAAGACCUUGCUGCUGAGAACUAUAUGAUGCCUAGGCCCUGCUGCUUAUAAUCCGCAUUUUUUACACCUUCAAAAUAUUCUGUAAAUGACAUUUGAUGUAGAAUUUUUUGUACAGAGGACAUCUUUUUUGUAUGAUUUUGUGUUUGUAUGGAAUUAUUAUUUUGGGUUGGAUUGUA